GGCGGGCGUAGCCAAGUGGUAAGGCAGUGGAUUGUGACUCCACUACUCGCGGGUUCGAACCCCGUCGUUCGCC
rnacentral:tRNA from 1 species